GUCAACAGCAGGCCACGUGCGUGAAGUUUUUAUGAUCCGGAAACAAAAGAAAAAGACAAACACAUAUCCAUGGACUCCAGUUUUGUAAGCAAGCUGUGGGAGUCUGUAGUUUAGUGCCAACAGGGUAAAGAGGAUUGUGACGAAGCUCACCAGAAUAGUCUCUUCAGCAUUCGGAUACCAUGCACUCCCAAUCCCAACACCUAUCCUUGACACUCUGACUUUUGUACUUAUUUUCUGGUGAGGCUUGUUCUCCUUACUUCCGAGUAUGGAAGUCACCACUCCUGCUUACCAAGACAAAGACAAUAAAAUAGAGAGCUGCAUACCCAAGAUUGUUAUAAUCUUCUUCCAGUAUUCUUCUACCUGCAAUGGUCGACCUAGAAAACUAUUCUAAAGGAAGACCUUAAACUGGAACAUUCAACAUGGAAAAAACACCGUAGAAAGUUUUCCAAGAGCUGUAAAAGCCUGCAGCUAAGAAUUAAUCCUGAGGUUCUACAAAGUGUUGAUGUGAGUGCUUCCUUCAGCAAUGGGAUAAGACCUGGGACACAGAGAUGGCUAAGCAUUUCCAUCCCAUGUCCAGUCAUCAUCGUGUGGAAAACAGAGGAAAAGAGGCCAGCCACACCAAGUCCACGGAUGGGAAGGCGGAGGCCAGGGUAAAAACCCUCCCCAGAAAAAUCUCCCACAGGGCCUGUCACUUACACCUAAACUGCCACCUUUAGAGAUUCACUCUUGGUUCUGGAGGCAUUUCAGUCCCUGGGGGCCCUAUUAAAAUGCAAAAACUCUGCAAAGAGUAACCUGCACUGAAAGCUAUUAUUAACUGACAGCAAGAAUACCCUUGGGAACAGGACAAAGGAAGGAGCCUGAGCAAUGGCUACAGGAAGUCACACUCAAGGGAAGGUGAGAUGGUAGAGAAAAUAAACUUUAACUACUUCAUCGUU